UGGGGCUCGGUUCGACGGUCGCGGUCGCGCUGGCCUGGUGCGCCGGCGUGGCCGUGCUGUUCCUGUCCGCGGCGUCCUGG
rnacentral:tRNA from 2 species